GUAGGGUUGGUUGGGUUGGUUGGUUGGGUUGGUUUGUUUGUUGGGUUGGUUGGUUGUUGGUAGGGUUGGGUUGGUUGGGUUGGUUGGUUGUUGGUAGGGUUGGUUGGGUUGGUUGGUUGGGUUGGUUGGUUGGUAGGGUUGGUUGGGUUGGUUGGUUGUUGGUAGGGUUGGUUGGGUUGGUUGGUUGGUUGUUGGUAGGGUUGGUUGGUUUGGUUGGUUGUUGGUAGGGUUGGUUGGUUUGGUUGGUUGUGUACGGUUUCAUUCUGCCUCUAUAAACAGCAGGGUUCUGGUGAACCCGUUCAUUAUCAUGCCCAUACGUGGCCUUUGGUGUUCCGGGCGUUGUUCCUGCUUAUGUCUUUAG
ensembl:lncRNA